GCUGGAACUGGGCGGGCGCCGUUGCGCCGGCAGCGCCCGCGUCGUUGCCGCUGGGCUCGGCGUCCGUGUCCGGAGCGGUGCCGGGUGCUGGCG
rnacentral:tRNA from 1 species